UGAGGGUCUAGACAAGAGGAGAGUGAUGCUGAGGGCCAGAGGACACUGGGCUGGGCCAAGGUUCUUGAGAUCUUAUAUCUAUUUUCACUUGGAACAGCAAAAAUGAAGACAGCAUCAUCACUGAUUGUGCUCAUUGUGAUCGUUGUGGCUUGCUUCUCAUUCAGUGAAUGUCAGGAGAGGACAGGAUGGUCAACUCCAUUACUACCACUACCCCCAACGGCAUCGGCCAUAUCCACCACUACCACCAGGAGCAGUGUGGCAGCUACUACCAGGCCCAAACAGAUUUCCUCCCUUUUGUGGGCCUCGCUUUCCUCCUUACCCCCACCUUAAUCCCAAUACGCCUUACCCUCGAAGACCAAGGCCCACUUCCCCUCCUCCUAAUCCUGUUGUUAAUGGUACCACUCCUCAAUAGCCCAUCACUACCAACACCACUGCUCCCAACCGCCCCCCAACCACUCCCUCUAUUACCAAUCAAACGGUAAGCCAAAAUCAAACCACUACUCCCAGCCAAACUUCCCCAAACGCCACUACUGUUUAUAUUUUUG